rnacentral:rRNA from 1 species
UACGUAGGGGGCUAGCGUUGUCCGGAUUUAUUGGGCGUAAAGAGCGUGUAGGCGGCCAGGUAGGUCUGGUGUGAAACUCGAGGCUUAACCUCGAGAUGUCUCGGAAACCAUCUGGCUAGAGUCCGGAAGAGGAGAGUGGAAUUCCUGGUGUAGCGGUGAAAUGCGCAGAUAUCAGGAAGAACACCAAUGGCGAAAGCAGCUUCU